UCUGCUCAUAGAUAUAGAAAGGUUUUGUCCUGGCCGCUAAAAACCCACGAUUUGUCUCCCCCUAUUCAUUUCUAGCGUUGAUUCUCUCUGAUUUAAGCCAGUUUCUUAAAAUUUAAAGCGAAAGUGGUUUCGAUUUAAGGUUUUAAAGAUUCACCGUUUAGUGAUGGUCCGACUUCCUGGAAUAUGGUCAUUUCCUAAGCACACACAGACAAAAUACCAWAAUGGAGAAAUACAAUGUAAACCAACGUAAAGGUGUUAAAAAGAAAUAUUGAAUAGAUCGUAAAGAUUAUUUACAGACUUUGGAAAAAAUUACAAGAACGCCAUUAUGAGCAUGCGUGAUGGGUGAUAAAAUACACUAUAUAUAAGCCUAUCCCACAUGCUUGGUUGAAAGCUUCCUGUCACCUGAUCUUACAUAUGUACAAGUAUAAAAUGUUUGAAACUUUACAUAAUUUACAAUAUAUUUUGAUGCAUUUCCUUGGAAACAGCAUUGAUUUGAAUUGAUUUGAAUUGCUAAUCAAUAUUUAUACAAUAUAUAUUUCAAUUUUUGUUUUGUCACAAUUUUUGAUAAA